UUUGGUAGCAAAUAGAAUAGUUGGUAUUGAUGAUGAGAAAAUUUCAACAAGCUUCCUACAAGUCUCAAAGGCAGGCAGGCAGGCAGGAAUCGGUGACAACCUCACACAAACGCAUCUUUCAAGCGGCCGACACGAUUCCUUUACACGUAUCGGGUUUAGGUCGCGGCUAGGGUUGGCCUGUUGAGAUUGACACUUUGUUCUGGGCUGUCUUCUACUGGUAGUUUCAAGGGCACUGGAGCUGCUCCGUGUUCCGAGUGAAGGGAAUCGAAGCUGCAGAUGAUGGUUGAACUAGCAGAUCGACGGAUACUAUACGAGAAAGGGGCUGAUCGAUCUGAAGCUGACUGAGAACCGAGUUGAGCGCAAACACUUUAACAAAGAAAGUGGCAAAUUGUGAAAGGCACGAGGAGACUAAACAACAGGCUCACUCGACGGCGCAGAAAGAAAAUGCUGUUGCUGAUAGGGUCAAGCUGAUAGACGCGACUACUAUGUGGUCAUAUGAGAACGUUAGCCGUGGAAGCAUUUAUGAUCGCUACGGCGAAGUGAGCCGGUCGAUCGAACUGCUCUAGCGAAACGUAGCUACCGUCGGCAUAACUCCAGCAGAUUUUCCCUAUAGUUUGACUAUUUUACCGGGGCAACUGAAACAUCUGAGGAAAGACGGCGUCGAAGUACGCGUGGAACAUGCAAUAUUAUAUACUUAUGUAAAAAAUGGGUGGCUAAUCAUGCUAAGCGUUAAUUGACGAUGGCCAAUACAAUAACCAAUCGAAAUUUAUCCAGUGCUCUGAAUAGGGCAGAGCUCCCUGCCAGCCAGCUACAAACAUCGAUUGAUAGCCCUAGCUGACCCGAAUGACAAAUGAAUACAAGCGGCCAAGGAAUAUGGCGUGAAUAGCUAUUACGAAUAGUGUUGUUGGCGUUGCCCCAUAGCCAGCGUGUUGCUAUCGAAGUCUCCUUUUGUUUUUCGAUUAAAUAACUGGUGUUAUGUUAAAGAUGAAGUAUGAACUUGAACAGGUUCAAUCUGCCCCGGAGGUGACUCGAAGCAGAUUCUUGCUGGUGCAAAGCUCACAUAAGCUCAUUGUGUUGCUGCUGCUGUUGCUGUGACUGAUGCCGAUCCUGCUGACGCCGGUAUAUCUCCUUGGGUGGCCGCCGCCGCCGCCGCCGCCGCCACCGCCAUCAUCGUCAUCGCGUAGUUUCGUCAAAACUGUGCAGUGCAGGUCCGAUACUGCCAAUGGACAGUUGUAUAAGUGCGCAUGGACGAGCGAAAUGGAACCGAAAUGGAAAGAGAACCACAUGGACCGUGGAAGCAUCAUCGAGGCACACAAAUCUUGCGAAAUGUGUUUCAGAAGUUCUUCGCUCUCGAAAGUCUCUCGUUUUCCUUUCGUAAAGGGAAACGAAGUGACGACUCGACGGUCGUCGAAUGAACGCAGUAUAGAUGAAUGCAUUAUUCCUCCUCGUGCUUGGACGGGAGUAAGACUCGUCGUCUUUUGAGGUUAGUGUACGGUGUAUGGGGUGUAUGGCCGGCCAGUUAUCUGGGUGGAAGAGAGGGUUGUGUGCGAAUGUAUAUAGGGGCGUAGAAGGGUGGAGUUUCUAUAAGAUCCGGUUAGCACGACGAUCAUUUAUUAUUGAUGAAUGGACGACUAUGUAAAAAACGACCAUUGAAGCGAGACAACAAAUGAGCGAUUGAUGAUGGCCGCGAGCAGUGGUGGAGGGCAGUCAGAUACACUUGCGACAUACUGACCGAUAUUGACACUACUGUGGUGGCGGAUGUAGUGAGGUCGGCGACGACAAAGUUACACGGCCGCGUAUACUACGCUUUGCUAUUUUUGCAAGUAAAAUUAAUUUAAUAUGUAGACAUGUCAAAAAAGAAAAGCAAGUUGUAAUCUGCAGAGAUUUAAUCACUCGCGUCCGGACAUUCCUUGACUUCAGAAUGAGAACCAAGUGAAGUUUUUAAUAUCGUUGAGAUUUGAACUGAUGACCCUUGAAUGUGAGACAAAAGUGAUUCUAGAUCUAUAUUUGAGCCGACGUAAACAUCGGUCCUAAAAGGUCGGCACGGAUCCGAAGUACCUGAUCAAAGGCGAAUUGGACAGAAAAGCGACGAAUAGAGAAACAUACGCAGCGUGUGAAAAAUUAUAAAAUCACUGAAACUAUACAGACAAAUGAGUGCGAAGAAUUUUAUUUGGAAAAUAUUAUUCAAGCCUCUUCCCAGUGGACCGUUG